rnacentral:rRNA from 1 species
AUUGAACGCUGGCGGCAUGCUUUACACAUGCAAGUCGAACGGCAGCGCGGGCUUCGGCCUGGCGGCGAGUGGCGAACGGGUGAGUAAUGCAUCGGAACGUGCCCAGUAGUGGGGGAUAGCCCGGCGAAAGCCGGAUUAAUACCGCAUACGACCUGAGGGUGAAAGCGGGGGACCGAAAGGCCUCGCGCUAUUGGAGCGGCCGAUGUCGGAUUAGCUAGUUGGUGGGGUAAAGGCUUACCAAGGCGACGAUCCGUAGCUGGUCUGAGAGGACGACCAGCCACACUGGGACUGAGACACGGCCCAGACUCCUACGAGAGGCAGCAGUGGGGAAUUUUGGACAAUGGGGGCAACCCUGAUCCAGCCAUGCCGCGUGCGGGAAGAAGGCCUUCGGGUUGUAAACCGCUUUUGUUCGGGAAGAAAUCCUCUGGGCUAAUACCCCGGGGGGAUGACGGUACCGGAAGAAUAAGCACCGGCUAACUACGU